AUUGAACGCUGGCGGCAUGCCUAACACAUGCAAGUCGAACGGAGUGGCGGACGGGUGAGUGAUGUCUAGGAAUGUGCCAGGUAGUGGGGGAUAACGUCAACAAAUGGUAGCUAAUACCGCAUCCUCUUAGAUGCGCCUAUGUCGGAUUAGCUAGUUGGUGGGGUAAAGGCGCACCAAGGCGACGAUCCGUAGCUGGUCUGAGAGGAAGACCAGCCACACUGGAACUGAGACACGGUCCAGACUCCUACGGGAGGCAGCAGGGGGGAAUAUUGGACAAUGGGCGAAAGCCGGAUCCAGCCAUGCCGCGUGUGUGAAGAAGGUCUUCGGGUUGUAAAGCACGUUAAGCUGGGAGGCGUUACCAGCAGAAUAAGCACCGGCUAACUUCGUGCCAGCAGCCGCGGUAAUAC
rnacentral:rRNA from 1 species